ACACAAAAACUGGCUGGUUAAGAAGAUUAUAGGAAAACCACAUCCUCCCAAAACAACAUCUCUGAGCAGCACCUAAGUGGUAUUUUUGCUCUCAGAAGACCUCUCAGGGCAGCAGCCUCCUCUCUCCCAUGCAGGAUGCUCUCAGAACAUGCUGACUAAGCCAAGCAUUUUUAUUAAAACUGUGAUAUAUAUAUGGAGAUGAACAUUUUUAGAAUGACAAAGCAUAAUGGUUCUCCUCCUUUCUGACAGGGUCCCAUCAAGCUAAAAACAGAGCACGUUCAUUUCUCACAGCUCUCCUUGCCACUUGUUGUAGAACAUCAUCUGUAAAGGUUAACUGAAAGAAUGCCAGACCAAAUGAGUAAUAAUUACCUUCAUCUUCCUCAGCUAAAUGAAGCCUAAAUGAAACAUGACUGGAAUAAUGCAGCUUUCAUGAGGAUUGGGGUUGUUAGGAAAUCCAUCUGCUUCCCAGGAACAUGACAGAUUAGAGCCUUAGCUAGGAAGAGAUGAACUCCUCAGGAUUAGAUGCAGGUGUGCGGGGCUGGAAGAAGGAGGCAGCUGAAGCCUACAGAAAUGGAGAAUGAGAAAGAAAAAGCUGAGCAUCACAAGUCUGAAAUACUAGAACCAAUAAAAAAUGAAGAAUAAAACCAGUUCUUUUUCUAGAAGUUGUCCACGGGCACAUCUUGUUCCAACCAGCCUCUAAAUAAGCCAAGCCUGAAGACCUGUGUUUUCAGUGAUUAUGAAUUUGGAUACUUAGUACAUCUUUCAGAAAUUUUGUUAUGAUUAAAACAGUAAAAUCCAGACAUAAUCAAGGGCACCUUGACUGGGAUCCCCAAAUCUGGUAUCACAACCCAUUAAAAUACAAGAUGAGAAAGACUUCAGUGGUCAGAAACAGAUCAUGUGUAACUACAACAUUGCAUCAGCUCUGCCAGUUUUGUUUUGUGCUCUUCUAGGAACAGUUGUGAACCAAACCAGAGAACACUGAACCCAAAUAACCCCUUGGCCACGUGUUUAACUCAGGGUUUGCACUGUUCCUCUUGUAUCAUCCCCCCUCCAGGGACACCUGAGCCUCCCAGCUGUGGAGUCCCCACCAUU